rnacentral:rRNA from 1 species
AUUGAACGCUGGCGGCAUGCUUUACACAUGCAAGUCGGACGAGUGGCGAACGGGUGAGUAAUAUAUUGGAACGUACCGAGUAAUGGGGGAUAACCAAUCGAAAGCUUGGCUAAUACCGCAUAUUAUUCGAGCGGCCAAUAUCUGAUUAGCUAGUUGGUGGGGUAAAGGCCUACCACGGCGACGAUCAGUGGCGGGUCUGAGAGGAGGAUCGGCAACACGGGGACUGAGACAGGGCCCGAACCCCUACGGGAGGCAGCAUUGGGAAAUUUUGGACAAUGGGCGCAAUCCGGCUCCAGCCAUGCCGGGUGUCUGAAGAAGGCCUUCGGGUUGUAAAGUUCGUUCGGUAUUGAGGCGUUAAAGACAGAAGAAGCACCGGCUAACUCCGUGCCAGCAGCCGCGGUAAUAC